rnacentral:rRNA from 1 species
UACGAAGGGGGCUAGCGUUGCUCGGAAUCACUGGGCGUAAAGCGCACGUAGGCGGCUUUUUAAGUCAGGGGUGAAAUCCUGGAGCUCAACUCCAGAACUGCCCUUGAUACUGGCGGUCUCGAGUCCGGGAGAGGUGAGUGGAACUGCGAGUGUAGAGGUGAAAUUCGUAGAUAUUCGCAAGAACACCAGUGGCGAAGGCGGCUCAUUGGCCCGGUACUGACGCUGAGGUGCGAAAGCGUGGGGAGCAAACAGG